AAUAGAGCGCAACAUAUCCCAGCUGUGUUUUGGAGCAUACUUAAGCACUGCAAUAGAAGUGUAAAAAGAGGGUGAAAACAAACAGACAAACAACAAAAAACACCAUGUUUUUUGGUUUUGUGUUUAGGGUUUUUUUUUGAUAAAGCUGUACUCAUGAAAGACAUCUCUUGGUACAGGACAAAGUAAGCCAGUAUGUACGAGCUAAUCUUAAAGGAAGUUCAUAUGGACAGUUCAGGAUGUAGCUUUUCAGUAAAGUCUAUUUUUCUGUACUGUAAUUUAAAAACAUGCUUAAUUUAGUGUGUGUAAGUGAUGUACAAGUGAUGCAUCUUAUUAUGGGAAGCAAAUAAAUGAAAUAUUAAUAUAAUUAAUUUCAGAUACUGCCAGUUGCUGAUGCAUAAUGAAAGCCCUUUCUACUGUAAACUUAAGGAAAAAAUGAAUGAAGGAAAAGCUUUAGAAGGAUCUUGUGUAAGCAGAAAUCUUGGCUAAAGAUGUCCCCUUGUGGUUGCAUGUUUUUGCAAUGACUGUUGUGAUGUCAGAGUAUUUCUUUUGCCUUUCUUUCACCAAUGUUGGGAGGAUCUGACUGAGCUGCUGUAUGGUGUAUCAUAAGGUGUUCAUUCAAUUAAGCAAAGCUGGACAAGGAAACAUGACCUUUUCGCAUCUCUCAAGAGUUUCUUAAUGAAAGAGUGGGGAAGGAGAAAUAGUACAUCUGUCUUAUCUGAUACAAUUACACUCUUUAACAAAUAUAGUAUGAACAUCUAUUGAAUGUGCGUAUUUCAUUAUUGUUUAACACUUGUAUUAUUCUAGAUUUUAAAAGAUUUUUCUGGUCUAACCUUAUAUUCUUAUGUAUGUAAUUUUACAUUUGUAUAUAUGUAACCUUAUAUUCUUACCUCCUUUAGUAUAAAUCAUCAUGGAUCUUGUUAGAAAAGUCAUCCUUUCCCAUAUGAUUAUUCAAAGGAUUUUGAAGAUUGAAUAGGUAAAAAACUUUCAGUAGCAUAAAUAGAAAUUAUUCUAAAGCUUUAAACAUUCUAGGUAUUAAACAGAAAAAUAUUUUUAAUGCUAUAGCAGGAAUAUACAUUCAUUUUAAUAGUAAUCUUGUCGUGAAUAUCUAAGAAGUAUCUCAUGCCUUGGAGCCUGCCAAAUUCUAGACUGUGCUUUUCUAGUUUGAAUUCCAAAGUGUUGUCUGUUACAGGUGCUUGGCUACGGAGUUUGUCUGUGGCAAAAAGAGUGGAUGUCAUCCUGAAGAGUCAUUCUGAAAUUUUUGAGGAUUUUUGACUAGUUACAUCUCUCCUUAAAUAAUCUUUCUUUUUGUUAGUGGUCAGAGAAACUUGCUUUCCACUAGCAACUAAAUCUAACUACAUGCUACUAGCAUAAAUGCUAGUAGUAGGUGAUCCUGAGUGCAUACUCAGAUUACCUGGAAAUUAUUUUCUAACUUUUGAAUUUUAUAGUUUAAACUUCUAAAAAUAAGCUUGAAAAAAAAGCUCUUGAGAGUUUAAGCAUUAUCUAACUCAGUCAAGAUAUGGUUAAGUAAAUUUCAUGUUAUUAAUUUGUUAUUCAUAGAGUUUAAAAAAAUCUUGAAAUGGGAUUAGUCAAUGUGGUCUUUUAAGAACGUUUAUUAUAGUGGCUCUUGUAGAAAGUUAAGUGAGGCUUUUUUUAAUGAACUACUAAUUUAACAAUGAGAUGCACAGCUUGACAGGAAUAUCAUUGUAUUGAGCACAAUACUACCUAACUAUAUAAUGAAAGAUUAUAAUGAAUAUAUGAAAUAAUUAUAAUGAAUAUGGGUAAUGAAAAGCGUGUAGGAAUGUGAGUUAUAAAUUUAAUCCCUGGUAGAACUCAGUGGCAAAAAAUACAUAGGUACUUCCCUUCAGGGUGGAGAUUAUUCAUGAAAGUUUUUCUGUUACUAGCUAAAGAAGUUGUUUAUCCCAUUGCUUCUAGACAAGCUAAUGAAUGGUGUAAAUGUAGCAGCAUGUGGUAAGAUCUGUGUGAGGAAUAAUUGUAACUGAAUUGCAGGAUAAUUUAUGGAUUUACCUGUGCUCAGUAUGAGUUCUUCCAGGAAGGUACCAGAGGGAUAUUGGUUGAAUAACUACCUGGUCUUUUGCACAGGCAAGUCAGUGAGCAAUAGUGUCUGGCUUUAGUGAAAAGAAAAAACAAAAAGCAGUGUGGUGGCUUUUCCUAGUCUCUCACUGUCUUUUGUUGGAGUGAGAUUUGAGUUUCAGCAUCAAAGGAGAAGAAAAUUCAGGAGAGUAUAGGACAAAAAUAAUCCUCUGUAGGUUGGAAUAGAUGAAUGGGCUGUUCUCAGAUUAAUUCUCUCAGAUUAAUUCUGAGAACUCUGAAGCUGAGUUUAAUAAUGUUUCUUAUGCCCUGUUUGGCUGUAACAGAUUUCCUCAGGGAAAAAGAAAAGGGAGGGGAAAAAACCAACCUAGCUUCGAAGAACUGGUUUUUAUCAUUUUUGACAGUAUUGUUACAUGGUAAAGUAGUGAAGACUUGGUGAUGUGCUAAUACAGUUUUGCAGUCUGUGCUGUUGCUUAAUUGAUUUUUUUUUGAUUCUUGGUUGCAGGUGACUGCACUAGGAAUGAUUGUAGAGAGAAGCUCUGCUUGCAGUUUUAUCAAAAGGUGCAGAAAGAAUGAGACCUUCUGACUGUCAUUGUUGCCAUCAGCCAGGAGGAGAAGUAGCACCUACUAAAGGAUUUGGACUUCUGGGAUAUUUUUGAUAUCAACCUACAAAAUGGCCACUGCUUGGAGGGACACCUGUCCUUUCACCAAUGCCAGCUCUUCAUGUUAACCAAGUACAGCACCAAUGGGGAACCUAAGAAGACACUGCUGGCACUGGUAAUAGUGAAAGUCCUGUAACCACGCAAGCAUUGCACCUUCUGUUGCACUUCAGAUUCUGUUGCAGUCCUAUGAGAACUUCUGAAAAAUUUAAGAAGGCUUUUCUAUUAAAACAAAUGUUGAUGAGUGUCAGUGCUGCACCUUUGUAAUUUUAAAUUAGAUGCUGCUAAACAGUCACAAAAUAAAGUUACCUGCUUUAUGCAGUUGUCA